rnacentral:rRNA from 1 species
AACGAACGCUGGCGGCAGGCCUAACACAUGCAAGUCGAGCGGACCCUUCGGGGUUACCUGCGGACGGGUGAGUCACGCGUGGGAAUAUGCCCUUCUCUACGGAAUAGUCCUGGUAAACUUGGGGUAAUACCGUAUACGCCCUUUUGGGGCAAGAUUCAUCGGGGGAGGAGUAGCCCGCGUUGGAUUAGGUGGUGGGUGGUGGAAUGGCCUACCAAGGCGUCGAUCCAUAGCUGGUUUGAGAGAAUGAGCAGCCACACUGGGGCGGAGACACGGCCCAGACUACUACGGGAGGCAGCAGAGGGGAAUCUUAGACAACGGCGGCAAUCAUGAACGAGCCAUGCCGGUUGAGUGAUGAAGGCCUUAGGGUAGUAAAGCUCGUUCAGCUGGGAAGAUAAUGACGGUACCAGCAGAAGAAGCCCCGGCUAACUCCGUG